rnacentral:rRNA from 1 species
CGAUGCGAUCAUACCAGCACUAAUGCACCGGAUCCCAUCAGAACUCCGCAGUUAAGCGUGCUUGGGCGAGAGUAGUACUAGGAUGGGUGACCCCCUGGGAAGUCAUCGUGCUGCAACCC